AACCAGAAUCAAGAACUCGCAAAACCAACUUAAUUACUUUGUAAUUUUGAUUCCGGAAGAAGUUAUCUUUUCUAAUUUGAAGAUUAUGGAAACUAUCUGCGCAGGUUUUUUGAGAUAUUUUAGUUGAAUAUCAUUUAUAAUUCUUAUUUUAAUAUAUUUAUGAUUAAUUCUUCUAAUAUGAAUUUUUCAGUUAAUAAUAAUUGGUCAGAGGGACUCCUCCUGCUCCUUCUUCUUCUCAGUGUUGCUGAUGAUGACAAUAUGAAUGACAAUCUUGAUUUUCUUGUUGUCCCUCAAUAUGGGAGAAAUGCCGACCACACUGGUUAAUUACACUGUUACUCUUUUAUGUUAUGUUUAAUUGUAUAAAAUAAUAAGUAUUGUUACUUAUCGUUUUGUCAAUUACGUGACUGCAGUUUGGUUCAAUUCAAAUAAAAUCUCUAAAGACGUAUAAGAGAUUUUAUUUGUUUAUUUACGUGUGUAUCUUGUAUUCCUAAAAAAGGAAAUAAAUAAAUAAAUAAAUAUUGUUGUGUGUCUAUGAGUUAAUAUUUAGUCUAUCCUUGUUAGCUUAAUUAACUCUCUCUUCUUGAUUAUUUUUUUAUAAAACAAACUCCAAAUAAUGGUUAACUAAUUGUUGCAGGUAGCAAGUGAUAUUCGAUCAUAAUUUAUUGAAAUAGAAAAUGCAAGUAAAUUUCUAAUUUCAACCUUUAAAACAGUCAUGCCGUUUAGUAGGCUUAGGCUAAUCAACAAAAUCUUCGGCCAUAAUCACUAUUAAUUUGUUAAUUAUUUUGUUAAAUAAUGCGAAGUUACAAAAUUUUGUCUCUGAAUGUUGAGCUAAAAGCCUUUAAUCAUAGAUAUGAUCCCAUCAUCUGAACAUUAUUUGUUAAUAAUUAUGUAGAAGAUCUAUUAACUAAUGAAUUGAAACAAAAAAAAAAAACAAAACCCAAAAAACCUCUCUCUAACUUUCUCUCUCUAAAAAUUCUCUGAACUCAUCUCUGAUGCCCUUCUUUCUUCAUCAUCCCUAAACAG
rnacentral:lncRNA from 1 species